UACGUAGGGGACAAGCGUUGUCCGGAAUGACUGGGCGUAAAGGGCGCGUAGGCGGUCUGAUAAGUCAGAUGUGAAAGGUACCGGCUCAACCGGUGACGUGCAUUUGAAACUGUCAGACUUGAGUAUUGGAGAGGCAAGUGGAAUUCCUAGUGUAGCGGUGAAAUGCGUAGAUAUUAGGAGGAACACCAGUGGCGAAGGCGGCUUGCUGGACAAAUACUGACGCUGAGGUGCGAAAGCGUGGGGAGCGAACAGGAUUAGAUACCCUGGUAGUCCACGCCGUAAACGAUGAAUGCUAGGUGUUGGGGAAACUCAGUGCCGCAGUUAACACAAUAAGCAUUCCGCCUGGGGAGUACGACCGCAAGGUUGAAACUCAAAAAAUUGACGG
rnacentral:rRNA from 1 species